rnacentral:rRNA from 1 species
UGGGGAAUAUUGCACAAUGGACGGAAGUUUGAUGCAGCGACGCCGCGUGGAGGGUGUAGGCCUUCGGGUUGUGAACUCCUUUUUCUCGCGAAAAAGGCACAGUUUUGGCUGUGUUGAUGGUAGUGGGGGAAGAAGCGCCGGCUAACUACGUGCCAGCAGCCGCGGUAAUACGUAGGGCGCGAGCGUUGUCCGGAUUUAUUGGGCGUAAAGAGCUCGUAGGUGGUUCGUCGCGUCUGUCGUGAAAGCCAGCAGCUUAACUGUUGGUCUGCGGUGGGUACGGGCGGGCUUGAGUGCGGGAGGGGUGAGUGGAAUUCCUGGUGUAGCGGUGGAAUGCGCAGAUAUCAGGAGGAACACCGAUGGCGAAGGCAGGUCACUGGGCCGUUACUGACACUGAGGAGCGAAAGCGUGGGGAGCGAACAGG